rnacentral:rRNA from 1 species
CCAGCACCUGCGGUAAUUCCAGCUCUAAUAGCGUAUAUUAAAGUUGUUGCAGUUAAAAAGCUCGUAGUCGGAAGUCGGGCUCGGGCAGGCUGUCGGCCUCGGUUGGGCAGCUUGCUUGGGUCUUCUAGCUCGGGGGCCCCGUGCCAUUUAACUGUAGGGUAGUGGGACGCAGGCCGUUUACUUUGAAAAAAUUAGAGUGUUCAAAGCAGGCCUACGCUUGAAUACAUUAGCAUGGAAUAAUGGAAUAGGACUUUGGUCUUAUUUGUUGGUUUAUGGGACCGAAGUAAUGAUUAACAGGGACAGUUGGGGCCGUUUAUAUUUCGUUGUCAGAGGUGAAAUUCUUGGAUUUACGAAAGAUAAACUUCUGCGAAAGCAUUCGGCAAGGAUGUUUCCA